rnacentral:rRNA from 1 species
AGUGAACGCUGGCGGUAGGCCUAACACAUGCAAGUCGAACGGCAGCACAGUAAGAGCUUGCUCUUACGGGUGGCGAGUGGCGGACGGGUGAGGAAUACAUCGGCAUCUACUUUUUCGUGGGGGAUAACGUAGGGAAACUUACGCUAAUACCGCAUACGACCUACGGGUGAAAGCAGGGGAUCUUCGCACCUUGCGCGAUUGAUUGAGCCGAUGUCGGAUUAGCUAGUUGGCGGGGUAAAGGCCCACCAAGGCGACGAUCCGUAGCUGGUCUGAGAGGAUGAUCAGCCACACUGGAACUGAGACACGGUCCAGACUCCUACGGGAGGCAGCAGUGGGGAAUAUUGGACAAUGGGCGCAAGCCUGAUCCAGCCAUACCGCGUGGGUGAAGAAGGCCUUCGGGUUGUAAAGCCCUUUUGUUGGGAAAGAAAAGCUGCAGGUGAAUACCCCGCUGUUCUGACGGUACCCAAAGAAUAAGCACCGGCUAACUUCGUG